rnacentral:rRNA from 1 species
UUAAAUUGAAGAGUUUGAUCAUGGCUCAGAUUGAACGCUGGCGGCAGGCCUAACACAUGCAAGUCGAACGGUAACAGGAAGCAGCUGCUGCUUUGCUGACGAGUGGCGGACGGGUGAGUAAUGUCUGGGAAACUGCCUGAUGGAGGGGGAUAACUACUGGAAACGGUAGCUAAUACCGCAUAACGUCGCAAGACCAAAGAGGGGGACCUUCGGGCCUCUUGCCAUCGGAUGUGCCCAGAUGGGAUUAACUAGUAGGUGGGGUAACGGCUCACCUAGGCGACGAUCCCUAGCUGGUCUGAGAGGAUGACCAGCCACACUGGAACUGAGACACGGUCCAGACUCCUACGGGAGGCAGCAGUGGGGAAUAUUGCACAAUGGGCGCAAGCCUGAUGCAGCCAUGCCGCGUGUAUGAAGAAGGCCUUCGGGUUGUAAAGUACUUUCAGCGGGGAGGAAGGGAGUAAAGUUAAUACCUUUGCUCAUUGACGUUACCCGCAGAAGAAGCACCGGCUAACUCCGUGCCAGCAGCCGCGGUAAUACGGAGGGUGCAAGCGUUAAUCGGAAUUACUGGGCGUAAAGCGCACGCAGGCGGUUUGUUAAGUCAGAUGUGAAAUCCCCGGGCUCAACCUGGGAACUGCAUCUGAUACUGGCAAGCUUGAGUCUCGUAGAGGGGGGUAGAAUUCCAGGUGUAGCGGUGAAAUGCGUAGAGAUCUGGAGGAAUACCGGUGGCGAAGGCGGCCCCCUGGACGAAGACUGACGCUCAGGUGCGAAAGCGUGGGGAGCAAACAGGAUUAGAUACCCUGGUAGUCCACGCCGUAAACGAUGUCGACUUGGAGGUUGUGCCCUUGAGGCGUGGCUUCCGGAGCUAACGCGUUAAGUCGACCGCCUGGGGAGUACGGCCGCAAGGUUAAAACUCAAAUGAAUUGACGGGGGCCCGCACAAGCGGUGGAGCAUGUGGUUUAAUUCGAUGCAACGCGAAGAACCUUACCUGGUCUUGACAUCCACGGAAGUUUUCAGAGAUGAGAAUGUGCCUUCGGGAACCGUGAGACAGGUGCUGCAUGGCUGUCGUCAGCUCGUGUUGUGAAAUGUUGGGUUAAGUCCCGCAACGAGCGCAACCCUUAUCCUUUGUUGCCAGCGGUCCGGCCGGGAACUCAAAGGAGACUGCCAGUGAUAAACUGGAGGAAGGUGGGGAUGACGUCAAGUCAUCAUGGCCCUUACGACCAGGGCUACACACGUGCUACAAUGGCGCAUACAAAGAGAAGCGACCUCGCGAGAGCAAGCGGACCUCAUAAAGUGCGUCGUAGUCCGGAUUGGAGUCUGCAACUCGACUCCAUGAAGUCGGAAUCGCUAGUAAUCGUGGAUCAGAAUGCCACGGUGAAUACGUUCCCGGGCCUUGUACACACCGCCCGUCACACCAUGGGAGUGGGUUGCAAAAGAAGUAGGUAGCUUAACCUUCGGGAGGGCGCUUACCACUUUGUGAUUCAUGACUGGGGUGAAGUCGUAACAAGGUAACCGUAGGGGAACCUGCGGUUGGAUCACCUCCUUACCUUAAAGAAGC